rnacentral:rRNA from 1 species
GUCUAUGGCCAUACCACCCUGCAAACACCCACUCUUGUCUGAUCUUGAAAGCUAAGCAGGGUCGGGUGUGGUUAGUACUUGGGUGGGAGACAUUGAACACAAAGAUAUAAUAUACG